GACGAACGCUGGCGGCGUGCUUAACACAUGCAAGUCGAACGGAAAGGCCCUGCUUUUGUGGGGGGCUCGAGUGGCGAACGGGUGAGUAACACGUGAGUAACCUGCCCUUGACUUUGGGAAAACUUCAGGAAACUGGGGCUAAUACCGGAUAGGAGCUCCUGCUAAAUGGUGGGGGUUGGAAAGUUUCGGCGGUUGGGGAUGGACUCGCGGCUUAUGAGCUUGUUGGUGGGGUAGUGGCUUACCAAGGCUUUGACGGGUAGCCGGCCUGAGAGCGUGACCGGCCACAUUGGGACUGCGAUACGGCCCAGACUCCUACGGUAGGCAGCAGUCGGGAGUAUUGCACAGUGGGCGCGCGCCUGAUGCAGCAACGCCGCGUGCGGGAUGACGGCCUUCGGGUUGUAAACCGCUUUCGCCUGUGACGAAGCGUGAGUGACGGUAAUGGGUAAAGAAGCACCGGCUAACUACGUG
rnacentral:rRNA from 1 species